CUAAAAAGCAUUUUUAAAGAUGGAUUAGGCUCUAGUCCUUUGUUUUUUCUCUGCAUAUUUUUUUAAGAGCCAGUUUCUAAAUGCAUAUUUAUUAGCCUAGAUUUCAUACAGGGAUAGCACCAUUUUUUAAACGGAGAUUGCAGGUUCUCGUAUAAUACUGCUUUAGUUCACAACUGCAGAAAGUGGAGGGGAGAGAAUAAGUAGAUGUUCCCAGAACCACUACUAGCUUUGGGGAUUUUAAUACCCUACAUAGUUCUUUAUCAUAACUACAGCACUGUUGGCAGAAGGCACACUUCUUAAGACU